rnacentral:rRNA from 1 species
GCAGCCUGAUGCAGCAACGCCGCGUGAGGGACGACGGCCUUCGGGUUGUAAACCUCUUUUAGCAGGGAAGAAGCGAAAGUGACGGUACCUGCAGAAAAAGCACCGGCUAACUACGUGCCAGCAGCCGCGGUAAUACGUAGGGUGCAAGCGUUAUCCGGAAUUAUUGGGCGUAAAGAGCUCGUAGGCGGUUUGUCGCGUCUGCUGUGAAACCCCGAGGCUCAACCUCGGGCCUGCAGUGGGUACGGGCAGACUAGAGUGCGGUAGGGGAGAUUGGAAUUCCUGGUGUAGCGGUGGAAUGCGCAGAUAUCAGGAGGAACACCGAUGGCGAAGGCAGAUCUCUGGGCCGUAACUGACGCUGAGGAGCGAAAGGGUGGGGAGCAAACAGGCUUAGAUACCCUGGUAGUCCACCCCGUAAACGUUGGGAACUAGUUGUGGGGUCCAUUCCACGGAUUCCGUGACGCAGCUAACGCAUUAAGUUCCCCGCCUGGGGAGUACGGCCGCAAGGCUAAAACUCAAAGGAAUUGACGGGGACCCGCACAAGCGGCGGAGCAUGCGGAUUAAUUCGAUGCAACGCGAAGAACCUUACCAAGGCUUGACAUAUACGAGAACGGGCUAGAAAUAGUCAACUCUUUGGAC